rnacentral:rRNA from 1 species
CCCGAAGCCAGUGGCCUAAACUUGUUAGGGAGCUGUCGAAGGUGGGAUCGGCGAUUGGGACGAAGUCGUAACAAGGUACCCGUACCGGAAGGUGCGGGUGGAUCACCUCCUUUCUAAGGAGCUUUAAUU